rnacentral:sRNA from 1 species
UAGCUGGGAUUGGACUCCCAGAGGGGGAC